rnacentral:lncRNA from 1 species
CCAGAUUGCAGCUACAGGUGUGGUCACUGUCUCUUCACCCUCUUGGCUCCCUGCCCUCUCUCCUACCCAGCCUCCACUCAGCCCUGUAACCAACCCCUGGCCUUGCUCAGUGUGUUAAGGAUCCGGCAUUGCCAUGAGCUGUGGUGUAGGUCACAGAGGUGGCUCAGAUCUGGCGUCGCUGUGGCUCUAGUGUAGGCCGGUGGUGCCAGCUCCAAUUGGACCCCUAGACUGGGAACUUCCAUAUGCCAAGGGUUUGGCCCUAAAAAGACAAAAAAAAAAAAAAAAAAAGAUAAAGAGUAUUCUGGGGAGUUCCCGUCGUGGCGCAGUGGUUAACGAAUCCGACUAGGAACCAUGAGGCUUCGGGUUCGGUCCCUGCCCUUGCUCAGUGGGUUAAUGAUCCGGCGUUGCCGUGAGCUGUGGUGUAGGUUGCAGAUGUGGCUUGGAUCCCGCGCUGCUGUGGCUCUGGCGUAGGCCGGUGGCUACAGCUCAGAUUCGACCCCCUAGCCUGGGAACCUCCAUAUGCCGCGGGAGCGGCCCAAGAAAUAGCUAAAAAGACAAAACAAAAAAACAAACAAACAAACAAACAAACAAAAGAGUAUUCUGGAAGACUGGGUAAAUUAGUUCACCAAAGCUAGCAAGACAGGGAGAAGGUACGCCCUGGUGGGGGAGUCCCUAACAAUCUCAUUAGACACCCAUGGAGAUGGCACAGUGAUGGAGAAGAGGAGCCCUCCUGCCUCUAGCAAUUUCUUCAAAUAAAGUAAAUCAGGGUGGGUAAAAAUAAUUAGUCACCAGUACUAUUAGGGCUGAUAGUGGUUGGAUGUGUGUAUGAUGGAGAGGCUAUAGUCACAGAGGCAAAGAACACAACACAGGACCCUUGAGCCUUAUUAUGAUCCAGUGGCUGGUUCAUCACGCCUCCUCCAGGGGCUGAUCCCCCCAGCCGUGCCAUAGCUCCUUUGGUUCACUGGCAGUUCCCGGCUUUUACCAGCAGGUGGCAGUAGAACACUUCUGCCUCUUGGGCUCCAUCUGCCGCCUCCUGCUGCUGCAAUUUGCACCCAGUGGCCCAACCCGGCCUUGGAAGGGCCAUCAGACUUCCCUCCCAGGGGCCAAGCCGCCCACAGUCAGCUUACCUGCUCUGACACCCAGGGAGAAGACAGGACCCCGGACCCUGCGUCUCCAGAUUUCCAACUCUAGGCAAGGUGGAGCCGCCCGGACCAGGAAUUGCGGAGGAGUCCACGUAGGAACUUUCUGUUCCUCCUGCUUGAGGAGACUUCCCCAGCCGCAGUCCCGUUGCCUUGCUGGGGCCAAGCCUGUGCACUCGCCCUGCAG